rnacentral:rRNA from 1 species
GACGAACGCUGGCGGCGUGCCUAAUACAUGCAAGUAGGACGCAGUUGCGAACGGGUGAGUAACGCGUAGGUAACUACCUAUUAGAGGGGGAUAACUAUUGGAAACGAUAGCUAAUACCGCAUACUAGUAGAUGGACCUGCGUUGUAUUAGCUAGUAGGUAGGGUAAUGGCCUACCUAGGCAACGAUACAUAGCCGACCUGGAGGGGGGAACGGCCAAACUGGGACUGAGAACCGGCCCAGACGCCUACGGGAGGCAGCAGUAGGGAAUCGUCGGAAAUGGGGGGAACCCUGACCAAGCAAAGCCGCGGGAGUGAAGAAGGUUUUCGGAUCGUAAAGCUCUGUUGUUAAGGAAGCGGUACUUAACCAGAAAGGGACGGCUAACUACGUGCCAGCAGCCGCGGUAAUUC